rnacentral:rRNA from 1 species
GAUGAACGCUGGUGGCGUGCCUAACACAUGCAAGUCGAACGAAGCACCUUACCUGAUUCUUCGGAUGAAAGUUUGGUGACUGAGUGGCGGACGGGUGAGUAACGCGUGGGUAACCUGCCCUGUACAGGGGGAUAACAGCUGGAAACGGCUGCUAAUACCGCAUAAGCGCACGAGGAGACAUCUCCUUGUGUGAAAAACUCCGGUGGUACAGGAUGGGCCCGCGUCUGAUUAGCUGGUUGGCAGGGUAACGGCCUACCAAGGCAACGAUCAGUAGCCGGUCUGAGAGGAUGAACGGCCACAUUGGAACUGAGACACGGUCCAAACUCCUACGGGAGGCAGCAGUGGGGAAUAUUGCACAAUGGGGGAAACCCUGAUGCAGCAACGCCGCGUGAGUGAAGAAGUAUUUCGGUAUGUAAAGCUCUAUCAGCAGGGAAGAUAAUGACGGUACCUGACGAAGAAGCGCCGGCUAAAUACGUG